GAUGAACGCUGGCGGCGUGCCUAAUACAUGCAAGUCGAGCGAACAGACGAGGAGCUUGCUCCUCUGACGUUAGCGGCGGACGGGUGAGUAACACGUGGAUAACCUACCUAUAAGACUGGGAUAACUUCGGGAAACCGGAGCUAAUACCGGAUAAUAUAUUGAACCGCAUGGUUCAAUAGUGAAAGACGGUUUUGCUGUCACUUAUAGAUGGAUCCGCGCCGCAUUAGCUAGUUGGUAAGGUAACGGCUUACCAAGGCAACGAUGCGUAGCCGACCUGAGAGGGUGAUCCGCCACACUGGAACUGAGACACGGUCCAGACUCCUAAGGGAGGCAGCAGUAGGGAAACUUCCGCAAUGGGCGAAAGCCUGACGGAGCAACGCCGCGUGAGUGAUGAAGGUCUUCGGAUCGUAAAACGCUGUUAUUAGGGCAGAACAAAUGUGUAAGUAACUAUGCACGUCUUGACGGUACCUAAUCAGAAGGCCACGGCUAGCUACGUG
rnacentral:rRNA from 1 species